rnacentral:rRNA from 1 species
AGAUUGAACGCUGGCGGCGUGCCUAACACAUGCAAGUCGAGCGGUAGCAGGUGUAGCAAUACAUGCUGACGAGCGGCGAACGGGUGAGUAAUGCUUCGGAAUCUACCCACGGGUGGGGAAUAACCAACCGAAAGGUUGGCUAAUACCGCAUAAGUCCUACGGGGGAAAGCGGGGGAUCGAAAGACCUCGCGCCGGUGGAUGAGCCGAAGCCGGAUUAGCUAGUUGGUAGGGUAAUGGCCUACCAAGGCGACGAUCCGUAGCUGGUCUGAGAGGACGACCAGCCACACUGGGACUGAGACACGGCCCAGACUCCUACGGGAGGCAGC